UACGAGUGCUUCGAGCGUUAUCCGGAAUCAUUGGGCGUAAAGGGUGCGUAGGCGGCGAUGUUAGUCUUGUGUAAAAUCUUUCGGCUCAACCGAGAGUCUGCACGGGAAACGGCAUUGCUUGAGGACGGAAGAGGUCUCUGGAACUCAUGGUGUAGCGGUGAAAUGCGUUGAUAUCAUGGGGAACACCAAAAGCGAAGGCAAGAGACUGGUCCGCUCCUGACGCUGAAGCACGAAAGCGUGGGUCGCGAAUGGG
rnacentral:rRNA from 1 species